GAUGAAGAACGCAGCAAAAUGCGAUAAGUAAUGUGAAUUGCAGAAUUCAGUGAAUCAUCGAAUCUUUGAACGCACAUUGCGCCCGCUGGUAUUCCGGCGGGCAUGCCUGUUCGAGCGUCAUUUCAACCCUCAAGCCCCCGGGUUUGGUGUUGGGGAUCGGCUCUGCCCUUCUGGGCGGUGCCGCCCCCGAAAUACAUUGGCGGUCUCGCUGCAGCCUCCAUUGCGUAGUAGCUAACACCUCGCAACUGGAACGCGGCGCGGCCAUGCCGUAAAACACCAACUUCUGAAUGUUGACCUCGGAUCAGGUAGGAAUACCCGCUGAACUUAAGCAUAUCAAUAAGCGGAGGA
rnacentral:misc_RNA from 1 species